UGGAAGGACACCACAAACUCCUGCGGCAGCAGCUGCGACUCGUCGAGCGAUUCCUUAUCCGAUGAUGUUGCUGCCGUACGCCGUGCCUUCUCUUCAGACUCAUUUGAGAGAGCCAGCUUGGAGCCUGCACAAAAAUCAAGACAAGCCAGUCCAAGCCAAAUACAGCAGUGAAGAAAGACAUGGCAGCAGACAGCAGUGACUCCUAUGAGCUCUUGUGCUUCAGUGUUCUUGGAUAAAGACAUUUCAAGUGGAGAAUUCCCCUGGCUUUGUCACGCUUAUUUGAACCUUUUUUCUCAGUGUGACAUGCGCCAUUAUUAAGUAAAAUUAAUAAAAUGGUUUUGUGUGUGUCA